rnacentral:rRNA from 1 species
GCAUGGGAGCGGCGGCCGGUGUCGCRUUCUAAGUACCCAACWCACGAAUGCGASACCAAAGMCACCGCGUCGAAGACSCCAACCGCWUCCAGCUCCCAAUAGCGUAUAUUAAAGUUGUUGCAGUUAAAAAGCUCGUAGUUGGAUUUCGGAAGGUCCUUAGCAAUCCGCCCCUUCGGGGAGCGGGUUGCUGGCCUCCUAUGUUCCUAACGGUCCUCGUCCGCGAGGGCGGGGAAUCAACCGCUAGGAUCGUUUACUUUGAGGAAAUUAGAGUGUUCAAAGCAGGCGUAACUCGCCUCCGAAUACGUUAGCAUGGGAUAAUGGAAUACGACUUCGGUCUUGUUUCGUUGGUUUCGCUUGGCUGAAGUAAUGAUUGAUAGGGACAGUUGGGGGCAUUAGUAUUUAGUUGUCAGAGGUGAAAUUCUAGGAUUUACUAAAGACUGACCAAUGCGAAAGCAUUUGCCAAGGAUGUUUUCAUUAAUCAAGAACGAAAGUAGGGGGAUCGAAGACGAUCAGAUACCGUCGUAGUCUCUACCGUAAACUAUGCCGACCAGGGAUCCGGAGAGUUUGCAUGGAUGACUCCCCGGGCACCUUGUGAGAAAUCAUAAGUGUUUGGGUUUUGGGGGGAGUAUGGUCGCAAGGCUGAAACUAAAGGAAUGACGAAGCCCAUACGAUUC